rnacentral:rRNA from 1 species
GGGUUGUGAGGUUAAGCGACUAAGCGUACACGGUGGAUGCCCUGGCAGUCAGAGGCGAUGAAGGGCGUGCUAAUCUGCGAUAAGCGCCGGUAAGGUGAUAUGAACCGUUAUAACCGGCGAUACCCGAAUGGGGAAACCCAGUGUGACUCGUCACACUAUCAUUAACUGAAUCCAUAGGUUAAUGAGGCGAACCGGGGGAACUGAAACAUCUAAGUACCCCGAGGAAAAGAAAUCAACCGAGAUUCCCCCAGUAGCGGCGAGCGAACGGGGAGGAGCCCAGAGCCUGAAUCAGCAUGUGUGUUAGUGGAAGCGUCUGGAAAGGCGCGCGAUACAGGGUGACAGCCCCGUACACAAAAGCGCAUGUGCUGUGAGCUCGAUGAGUAGGGCGGGACACGUGGUAUCCUGUCUGAAUAUGGGGGGACCAUCCUCCAAGGCUAAAUACUCCUGACUGACCGAUAGUGAACCAGUACCGUGAGGGAAAGGCGAAAAGAACCCCGGCGAGGGGAGUGAAAAAGAACCUGAAACCGUGUACGUACAAGCAGUGGGAGCCCCACCACCAAAGCAUUCUCUGGUGUUGAAGGCCCUGCAAAGCAGCAUCGCGGUGGCGGAGCGUCGUUUGCGACGCCCAACACACAAAACAAGCGGUGAAUGCUUUGGGGUGGGGUGACUGCGUACCUUUUGUAUAAUGGGUCAGCGACUUAUAUUCUGUAGCAAGGUUAACCGAAUAGGGGAGCCGGAGGGAAACCGAGUCUUAAUUGGGCGUUAAGUUGCAGGGUAUAGACCCGAAACCCGGUGAUCUAGCCAUGGGCAGGUUGAAGGUUGGGUAACACUAACUGGAGGACCGAACCGACUAAUGUUGAAAAAUUAGCGGAUGACCUGUGGCUGGGGGUGAAAGGCCAAUCAAACCGGGAGAUAGCUGGUUCUCCCCGAAAGCUAUUUAGGUAGCGCCUCGUGAAUUCAUCUCCGGGGGUAGAGCACUGUUUCGGCUAGGGGGCCAUCCCGGCUUACCAACCCGAUGCAAACUGCGAAUACCGGAGAAUGUUAUCACGGGAGACACACGGCGGGUGCUAACGUCCGUCGUGAAGAGGGAAACAACCCAGACCGCCAGCUAAGGUCCCAAAGUCAUGGUUAAGUGGGAAACGAUGUGGGAAGGCCCAGACAGCCAGGAUGUUGGCUUAGAAGCAGCCAUCAUUUAAAGAAAGCGUAAUAGCUCACUGGUCGAGUCGGCCUGCGCGGAAGAUGUAACGGGGCUAAACCAUGCACCGAAGCUGCGGCAGCGACGCUGAUGCGUUGUUGGGUAGGGGAGCGUUCUGUAAGCCUGUGAAGGUGUGUCGUGAGGCAUGCUGGAGGUAUCAGAAGUGCGAAUGCUGACAUAAGUAACGAUAAAGCGGGUGAAAAGCCCGCUCGCCGGAAGACCAAGGGUUCCUGUCCAACGUUAAUCGGGGCAGGGUGAGUCGACCCCUAAGGCGAGGCCGAAAGGCGUAGUCGAUGGGAAACGGGUUAAUAUUCCCGUACUUGGUGUUACUGCGAAGGGGGGACGGAGAAGGCUAUGUUGGCCGGGCGACGGUUGUCCCGGUUUAAGCGUGUAGGUGUGUGUUCGGUAAAUCCGGUUCACUUUAACACUGAGGCGUGACGACGAGGCACUACGGUGCUGAAGCAACAAAUGCCCUGCUUCCAGGAAAAGCCUCUAAGCAUCAGGUAACACGAAAUCGUACCCCAAACCGACACAGGUGGUCAGGUAGAGAAUACCAAGGCGCUUGAGAGAACUCGGGUGAAGGAACUAGGCAAAAUGGUGCCGUAACUUCGGGAGAAGGCACGCUGACACGUAGGUGAAGUGAUUUACUCAUGGAGCUGAAGUCAGUCGAAGAUACCAGCUGGCUGCAACUGUUUAUUAAAAACACAGCACUGUGCAAACACGAAAGUGGACGUAUACGGUGUGACGCCUGCCCGGUGCCGGAAGGUUAAUUGAUGGGGUCAGCGCAAGCGAAGCUCCUGAUCGAAGCCCCGGUAAACGGCGGCCGUAACUAUAACGGUCCUAAGGUAGCGAAAUUCCUUGUCGGGUAAGUUCCGACCUGCACGAAUGGCGUAAUGAUGGCCAGGCUGUCUCCACCCGAGACUCAGUGAAAUUGAACUCGCUGUGAAGAUGCAGUGUACCCGCGGCAAGACGGAAAGACCCCGUGAACCUUUACUAUAGCUUGACACUGAACAUUGAGCCUUGAUGUGUAGGAUAGGUGGGAGGCUUUGAAGUGUGGACGCCAGUCUGCAUGGAGCCGACCUUGAAAUACCACCCUUUAAUGUUUGAUGUUCUAACGUGGACCCGUAAUCCGGGUUGCGGACAGUGUCUGGUGGGUAGUUUGACUGGGGCGGUCUCCUCCUAAAGAGUAACGGAGGAGCACGAAGGUUGGCUAAUCCUGGUCGGACAUCAGGAGGUUAGUGCAAUGGCAUAAGCCAGCUUGACUGCGAGCGUGACGGCGCGAGCAGGUGCGAAAGCAGGUCAUAGUGAUCCGGUGGUUCUGAAUGGAAGGGCCAUCGCUCAACGGAUAAAAGGUACUCCGGGGAUAACAGGCUGAUACCGCCCAAGAGUUCAUAUCGACGGCGGUGUUUGGCACCUCGAUGUCGGCUCAUCACAUCCUGGGGCUGAAGUAGGUCCCAAGGGUAUGGCUGUUCGCCAUUUAAAGUGGUACGCGAGCUGGGUUUAGAACGUCGUGAGACAGUUCGGUCCCUAUCUGCCGUGGGCGCUGGAGAACUGAGGGGGGCUGCUCCUAGUACGAGAGGACCGGAGUGGACGCAUCACUGGUGUUCGGGUUGUCAUGCCAAUGGCACUGCCCGGUAGCUAAAUGCGGAAGAGAUAAGUGCUGAAAGCAUCUAAGCACGAAACUUGCCCCGAGAUGAGUUCUCCCUGAGACUUUAGGUCUCCUGAAGGAACGUUGAAGACGACGACGUUGAUAGGCCGGGUGUGUAAGCGCAGCGAUGCGUUGAGCUAACCGGUACUAAUGAACCGUGAGGCUUAACCUUACAACGCCGAAG